UGCCGCGGUGUGGUGAAGAAGGCCUUAUGGUUGUAAAGCACUUUAAGCGAGGAGGAGGCUACUUUAGUUAAUACCUAGAGAUAGUGGACGUUACUCGCAGAAUAAGCACCGGCUAACUCUGUGCCAGCAGCCGCGGUAAUACAGAGGGUGCAAGCGUUAAUCGGAUUUACUGGGCGUAAAGCGCGCGUAGGCGGCUAAUUAAGUCAAAUGUGAAAUCCCCGAGCUUAACUUGGGAAUUGCAUUCGAUACUGGUUAGCUAGAGUGUGGGAGAGGAUGGUAGAAUUCCAGGUGUAGCGGUGAAAUGCGUAGAGAUCUGGAGGAAUACCGAUGGCGAAGGCAGCCAUCUGGCCUAACACUGACGCUGAGGUGCGAAAGCAUGGGGAGCAAACAGGAUUAGAUACCCUGGUAGUCCAUGCCGUAAACGAUGUCUACUAGCCGUUGGGGCCUUUGAGGCUUUAGUGGCGCAGCUAACGCGAUAAGUAGACCGCCUGGGGAGUACGGUCGCAAGACUAAAACUCAAAUGAAUUGACGGGGGCCCGCACAAGCGGUGGAGCAUGUGGUUUAAUUCGAUGCAACGCGAAGAACCUUACCUGGCCUUGACAUAGUAAGAACUUUCCAGAGAUGGAUUGGUGCCUUCGGGAACUUACAUACAGGUGCUGCAUGGCUGUCGUCAGCUCGUGUCGUGAGAUGUUGGGUUAAGUCCCGCAACGAGCGCAACCCUUUUCCUUAUUUGCCAGCGAGUAAUGUCGGGAACUUUAAGGAUACUGCCAGUGACAAACUGGAGGAAGGCGGGGACGACGUCAAGUCAUCAUGGCCCUUACGGCCAGGGCUACACACGUGCUACAAUGGUCGGUACAAAGGGUUGCUACCUAGCGAUAGGAUGCUAAUCUCAAAAAGCCGAUCGUAGUCCGGAUUGGAGUCUGCAACUCGACUCCAUGAAGUCGGAAUCGCUAGUAAUCGCGGAUCAGAAUGCCGCGGUGAAUACGUUCCCGGGCCUUGUACACACCGCCCGUCACACCAUGGGAGUUUGUUGCACCAGAAGUAGCUAGCCUAACUGCAAAGAGGGCGGUUACCCAACCCGGGG
rnacentral:rRNA from 1 species